UGGGGAAUAUUGCACAAUGGGCGCAAGCCUGAUGCAGCCAUGCCGCGUGUGUGAAGAAGGCCUUCGGGUUGUAAAGCACUUUCAGCGAGGAGGAAGGUGGUGAACUUAAUACGUUCAUCAAUUGACGUUACUCGCAGAAGAAGCACCGGCUAACUCCGUGCCAGCAGCCGCGGUAAUACGGAGGGUGCAAGCGUUAAUCGGAAUUACUGGGCGUAAAGCGCACGCAGGCGGUUUGUUAAGUCAGAUGUGAAAUCCCCGGGCUCAACCUGGGAACUGCAUUUGAAACUGGCAAGCUAGAGUCUCGUAGAGGGGGGUAGAAUUCCAGGUGUAGCGGUGAAAUGCGUAGAGAUCUGGAGGAAUACCGGUGGCGAAGGCGGCCCCCCUGGACGAAGACUGACGCUCAGGUGCGAAAAGCGUGGGGAGCAAAACAGGAUUAGAUACCCUGGUAGUCCACGCUGUAAAACGAUGUCGAUUUGGAGGUUGUGCCCCUUGAGGCGUGGCUUCCGGAGCUAACGCGUUAAAUCGACCGCCU
rnacentral:rRNA from 1 species